AUUUCCCCAGGUAAUGUACCAAUGUGAAAAUUAAGAUUCCAUGUUUGCCUUCUACGUAUUGUUCGCCUAGUGAAUCUGACUCCAUCUACUGUGAGAGACACUUCAGUGUAGUUGAAAAUGACCACUUUGUUUCUUUUCUACAAUUGCAUUAAAGAAAAGUUAGGAAUAUGUUUUGCUAACAAUAACCAUGAAAAACACAAGACUUACACAAAUCUAUUACUUACCAUGGUACGACUUCUAACUCGAGUGCCUGGUGCGAUGACUAUAUCCCAAUUGUUUUGGUCAAUGUAUUCAUCGCAGUCCCUUCGGUAUAGUCAUGUGUGUAACUCUGGCACAUGUUGUUCUCCCCCACCAGGAAAAUCUUCAAAGUUUAUAAUUAAUAUCUCGAUCUCAACUAUAGUAAGAAAUCUAACUCUGGAGAUUUGUAAAACUUGAUUUACUGGUUGACCUCCUGUCA